AUUGCGCAAAAAAUCUUAGUGAGCCAACGGUAAAGGCAGAUGAUGGAGAAGACCAAGGACCGUCAACAGACAAACAAGUGGGAGAGAUCCAGAUCACAGGUCCCAAGAGACAAAUAAUUGUUGGAAUAGAAAAUGAUGACUCCACUUGCCUUGUAGACAAUGAGGAGUCUGGGUCUCCAGGCAAAGAAGUGCCAGACAGAACUAAUGAAUCUUCGCAAGAAGGGACAAAAGUGAGAAGCAAGACACAAGACCAAUCUCUGCCAUGCAAUCAAGAAGCACAGAACUAAUAAAAGGCAGAACAUGCUGGGAUCCCAAGAGGCUGAAGGACAACAUGCUAACCAAGCAGAGCUGCUUACAAAAGAAGAUGAGCACAAUUUCCCCUCUGCCACUGUCUCUGCAGCCAGCUCAGCCUCUACCUUCCAGCUCUCAUUUAACACACCACCCACUGCAGGCAUUUGCCUGUUUCGGAGCCAGUUUUGUCUUGAAAUUGCCUAUUCAAGUUUUGGCAUCACUCCCCCCAAACACAUCUGUGUGCCAAAGGACAGGAAAAAUGACAGGCAAAGAGCUUCCCUGAGGAAAAAAGGAAGGAAAGCACAUACUCUUUUAUUUCCCAUACCUAACUUUGAUUUCUUCCUCACCACUCCCUUUAUCAUCAUGGGCAUGUGAUAAGCCAUGGUUAUCAACUGUAUGCACUUUAUUUUAUUUAAACACUAGUUUUAUUUAAAAUGUAGAUUUCUUUUGAAGACAUCCUCCCUUUUUCUCUCUCUCUUGGAUGAUAGUCAAUGCUUUCAAGCUCUGGAAAAUUGUUGCUCCAGAAACAAAAUUUUGCAUUGCCAAAUUGUGUUUCGGUUAGAAAUUAUUGUGAUUAUACUAAAGGUGGUUGAGGACAUAGUAAUUCAGGGGAAUUACACCGUGACUUAGUAUGAGUGUGUCAGAGUGAUAUUGAGGGACCAGUGGUAGAGCAAAUUUAGGCUACGAUUUUCUCAGAUCACACUUUUGACUGCAACAGUUUUGAAUUGGUGACUAUUGUUACCUUCAUAGUUCAUUACAAGAAACAGUACUAAAUAUGUAUAGAGCUGCUUAUUUUCCCAGGUGUUUCAUUAGAGCAUGUAGGUGGCCAUGUGAAUCCAAAUGGAAUAGA
rnacentral:lncRNA from 1 species